UCAUUCAAGUGCAGAAGCAUUUGUCGAUGUCAACAACUCUUUAGGACCAGUUCUUAUUGCUAUUAUCCUCUGGACAAAAUUCCCUCUUCUUUCUUUCUGUCUUUCAUUCAAAACAUAGCAACAUCAAUCAAUGUCAAGAGCUCUUGAAGACCGGUUCCCAGACAAAACUCCAUUUUUUCCAUAAGACCCAGAGGUCUCCCCUCAAUUUCUGGCAUUUGAUUGUACUUGGAAGAGAUUGCAAUAUCAAUUGGAGGGUCUAGAUUUUUUUCUUCUUCUGAGGAGUGGGUGCUUAGGAUUUGAUGGACGAUGGGCUCGAGACAGAAAAUGGCUGGUAAGCUUCUUCCCCUUCCACUUCCGGUUCUCCCUCUUGUUCUUCUUCAUCUUCCUCCCUCCCUCGAGCAGUUAGGGCUAAUUUUUUCUGUUUUUCUGAAAAUUUUCCUAAUAUUUCUAUUUUCUUGGCUAAAAGCAGCAAAUCUUUUUUUCCCAUCUCUUUUGUGUCCUUUUGUGAAACAAUGAGAAAGGGGAAGGUCAAUAUUUCAUCUCUGCUAUCUGGUGUGAAUUCCUAGAAUGCAGAUAUGGUACUUUUCUUCCCUUUCUUUCCAUGAUUAAUGUCUCUAUUUCAUUUCUAUUUUAUCGUUGAUUUUUUAUUUUUAAUUAGAAGAAAAACUUUUAAUAUGGUCCGUGAUGAUGAAUAAUUGAUGAUUAGCUGGCUUUUAGAUAUUUAUUUACUUGGUGUUUUGUUGUUCCAUCUUUCGUUCUUGCCCUUCUUGGAUUUUUCUAGAGCUGGGAGGAAAAAUGGCCACCCGUGAAAAACAACUGGUAAGGAAAAACAUAAGUUUUGUUAUAUCAUUCUCAUUUAAUUUUGUCCCUUCCACUCCCAAUUUAGGAUUUGAUGGACGAUGUUUUUUUCCUUUUUUUUUGUUCUUUUGGUGUUACUUUUCCGAGUAUAUAAUUAGUUGUUGUUACAGGAAGGAAUAUGAAGACUUGAAGUUGACAUCUCUAAAUAGUUAAAGCUG
rnacentral:lncRNA from 1 species